GGUAUGUUCUCCUUUUCUCUCAAUCUGCAGUAUCUAGCACUGCAAAAACAAAGCAAGAGUUUCCUAUCAUGGGAUUUAAUGGAUUUUGGCACAGUUAUGUUAAUUCUAAAAGAAAAUCUGAAGUCCUCCCACCCAGACCACUAGCAUCUUUAGAAGUAAACCAAGAUUUCUGAUGAGAUGCAAUCAAUCCAUUGUGAGCAAUGAGUAAACAAAUCUCUCUGAUGGAGAGGAGGGAAGCCCUGCUACAGAAAUUGCCAGCUGGAUUCCACUGCCACUGUGCAAAGCAGACCAUGCUGCUCCAUACAUCCAGCCCAACAGAAAAUGAUCUCCAAGUAAAAUCAUUUCCUUCCUUGGGUUCUCUUCAGGUGUGAUCUCCUGUGCAUGAAAGCUGACAGAUUUCAAAGGAUACUCGAACAGCUGGUUCUGAUGGGAAGAGAAGGUCACCUUUCUUGGCAUGCAUCGGCUUCAGAAACGCCAAAUGUUGGCCAUCUUCCACGAGGACCAAUUCAAGAAAACAUGAAGGCAUCCAAACACUUGUAACCACAGUGCGAUUAGAGUGGUUUAGUGCAUGGCUGAUACAGAGUUGCUGAGAGGCUCUAUUUACUGUAAAGAAAAUUAAUGAGUCUCAACUGUGUCACUUGUUAGGUGAAGUUCCCUGGUAAAGCUCUUAUCCCCAAACAGCCCAUGUGUAGAGGGUGUUACGUUCACAGAAGAAAUUCAGCAAUUAUGGGGGAGAUUUUUAUGCACUCUUGUCUUUAUUUCCUUGUAGGUUUUUUUUGUCUGGAAUUUUAUCUUUUCUGAUUAUCAUAAACACGUAGCUUUCUGGAACUCCUUUAUAUGUCAUGAUUCUUAUUGUAUGCAAGAACAAAAUGAUGCUUUAUUCUUUUUGCAGCAAGUUGUUGCUGAGUAUAGAUGGUGCAAAGCAUUGAGUUACAGGUAUUUUCUUUAUUUCCUUGCAGAAAAAUGAAGUGACAGGUGCUUAGCCUCAUUUUUCAUGCUAGCUUUGCCAUGCCAUUUUCACCAAUAAUGAAGGCAGCUGCCAGAGCUUGAGGAAAUCAGGCGAAAAAUUCAUCUGGCAGGUAGACCCAGUCACUUUAAGAAAUGUAAUCUUAUGUUAGCAGAUGGUAAUUAAAAGGCAGAAGAAAUAAAAUUUUGUCUCAGUUUUCUGCACUGUUACAUCAAUUAAAUCUGUAACAGAAAUGCAAGCAGAAAAUAUAAUUUAUUUUCAUGUGGCAGUGUGAUUCUAUGCAAAUAUAAUGAUUUGUUUUACAAAGAGAUUUUUUUUUAAACUAAAUAGAAUAACUGAUCGUUUCCAGAGAGCGUGUGUGCAGUAAUUCUUCUGUUUCCAAUAUGCCUAAUGCAAUGGGAAGUAUCUCUUCUUUCUGUUUUCUAUUCAUUGUUAAACUUCAAAUUGGGGUUCCAAUGUCUGCGUGCUUCCACGUCCAGCAAAGAUAGUCUUAAUUCUGAGAGUUCAGUAAAUCUAAAUGUGGACAGCUAAUCGGGCUCAAGCCUUGCAGGGGUACAUCCUGUUAAGAAAGAGUAUCCAGAAAGUGUGAGACUGAACUCGGUAAGAAUUAUGACCGAGCAGGAAAACGGCGUUAAGACUUCAGAGAUUCCUAAGUGUUUUUGGUUGUUCCUCCUGCUUAAAGACAUCCAGUUGCAAGGAUAGAGCCUCGUCAUUCCUCAUAUGUUACUUUUUAUGGCUGCUAGGAUCAUGAACAUCAUGUGCAAAUCAGUUGAAGGGUGAAAUAAUUAAAGCUCAUUAUGGCAGUGAUGAAACUGAAAUGCUACUGUAGCUAUGUCACCGUUUCCAUAGCUAGCUUUGAUGUGCAGGGAUUCUAUGACUCAUGCACAAAAAUUCACCCAAUUUUAAAACAAUUCACCUAAUUCUGAGCAUUAUGGCAUAGUCAGACUUUGAAUGAUAUUUUUACUAAAUGCAAUUAGUAAUUUUCAAAGACGUAGGGUUAUUUAACUUAAAAUUGAUUGAGUUACUAGGCGAUUAUUUUGUAUUUCUGCAACUCCAUGAUAGUUCGUGAUACCAAAACUGUAUGUCCUUUCUUAUCUCUCUUGCACAAAGUUUGCAUUAAAGAUGAUGAACAAUAACUA